GGAAGAGAAUAUGCAGAAUAGUAGUUUCCUGUCAGUACUGGUUCACUUUUUUUUUUGGGUAAAUUCGGGGAUUUUUUUUGGUAAAGUUCCCUUUAGUCGUUUAUUUAGUUAUUUAUUUCAGUAUGGCAUCAUCAGUGUAUUUAAAAAUGCAUAUCAUGACUUAUAAACUGUCACUUUUGAGGAAGUCCUGGCACAGUAUUUUACAUUUCCCCUCCACUUAGAGGUGAGUUUUGCUAAUAGUUACUGAUCUUUGAGUACUUCUGAGCAGAAUGAUGUGUGUUCAGAGUUUGAUACUACUUCAUGUGCCUUUAAAGUCGUGUGCUGGGAGUAAGACCUGAGUUAAAGAUGUGGGCAGUUUGGUGUUCUUCUGAAUGAGGCUGCAGUCGUCAGGGAGUGCAAUUUAAGUGUAUGGCGGUUGAACUGGCAUUAAUCUUUGGGAAUGCACCAUGUUUUUAUCCCUUGUGACCCGUCCGUAAAUUCAUGUCCCACAAAAACAUUUUUUAUUUUUUUAUUUUAGUAUAUUAGAAUCUGGUCAUGCUGUUUUGAGCUGGUAAUGUGUCCAGCGUUUCCCCCCUGACUUUCGCCCAGUUUUAGCUGGGAUAACUAUCACUUAACUACUUAUCCAACUUAGCUAAGUGGAUCUGGUCGUCUCAGUGUGAAUGUCAGGACCUAAGACUUAUAAUAGGAUAAAUCAGGUUUUCCACUUCAUGUCUGGGUUCCUUUUUUCCUUUUAACUGUUGUGGCGGAACAGUGUAUAUAUUUAAACUUUACAGCCUUUUUGGUGUAGUUCAUAUAUAGGUCCAGAAGAUGGCAGCAGAUGGCUAUGCUGAUGCCUGCUGCAGCGGCACAUUGCCGACGGACGUGGUGUUGUGUCCAGCGUAAUAUUUGCCUCCUCACAGAUGAUAAAAAAUUUCUCCCUUGCUCCAUCGUCUCGACUGUUUCAGCACAUUAGUCUCUAUAGGUAAGCCCCGCCCAUAAAUAAAGACCCCGCCCUCUGCUGACGGAGGAAAGGUCUAAGGUUGCU
ensembl:lncRNA